UGGGGUAUAGCUCAGUGAUAGAGUGCAUGCUUAGCAUGCAUGAGGUCCUGGUUUCAAUCCUCAGCACCUCCU
rnacentral:tRNA from 1 species